UACGUACCGUCCAAACGUUAUUCGGAAUCACUGGGCUUAAAGAGUUCGUAGGCGGCUCAGAAAGUUGGGUGUGAAAUCCCCCGGCUCAACCGGGGAAUGGCGCUCAAAACUACUGGGCUUGAGGGAGAUAGAGGUGAGCGGAACUGAUGGUGGAGCGGUGAAAUGCGUUGAUAUCAUCAGGAACACCGGAGGCGAAGGCGGCUCACUGGGUCUUACCUGACGCUGAGGAACGAAAGCUAGGGGAGCGAACGGG
rnacentral:rRNA from 1 species